rnacentral:piRNA from 1 species
CUAGAUGCGAUCUAUGAGCUGUGGGCAGU